CCCUAGAUGAGGAAGAACUUGGAGGUAGUACAACCAAUUCUGAAGGCUAGUGCUGCAACUUGGGAAAAUGAUGAAGAAGAACAUGGGUUUAGCACAACCAAUUUUGAAGGCUACGGCUGGAUCUUGAGGCAAUUGCGGCAUUAGGAAUGAUGAAGAAGAAAGUGGAGGUAGUACUACCAAUUCUGAGGGCUAAUCCUGUUAUGGUACAUGUAAGAGGUACAAAGUUAAUCACCCCCCCUAAUAAAAUUUGUGCAAUAAAACACAUUCAGCACUAACUUACAUUUUGUUUCCUGUAAGACUGCAUUUUCCAGGAACACUUCCUGCUCUGCCACUGCAGAGGGAACUAAAGUGCACAGCCAAGGUAGGAACUUUUACUUGAUGCACCAGUUCCCAUGUGCAGGAUUAAGAAAAUAUUCCUGUUGUCUUUCAGGCAUGGAUUUGUUGCAAGGCCGGAGCACACCCGGAGUGGAGUUACAGGGGGAGGACCAGAGCCUAUAGAAUAGUAAAGAUCUGCUAAUACAGGACACUGGAAGGAGGCCGAAUGCAAUAAAAUUCUGAAAAGCUCUGAAACAUUCUUCACAUUGGCCUUUAAAAGUUCUAAUGACAGGCAUUCGGCAAGCAAACUGUCUCUUUGCAGCUCAGAGGUUCUAAAUAAAGAACUCUAGUCAACAACAGGAAAUGACUCCCACAGAACUAAAGGCAUAAUACAAACCCUUAGCAAAUCUUGUGCGCAGCUCACACAACAGGCUUUUGUUCUGCACGGUGUCAAAUCUUUUCCCUGGUUGGACUUGCAAAAUGUACCUACUUCUGCAUUAGCACAGACAUGCUUUCUUUCAUCUUUUGUUAGGUGCUUCACACAUUUCAUCCAACACUAACCAGCACAUUGAUUUUCUUGCACGGAAAGGACACAAUUAUAUUUGGCAGUUAUUAAACAAAUAAAAAAAUGGAAGCUAAGAGUCACCCAGUAAUAGCAAUAAAUGCUGUUUUGCUGGACAGGUUUGCAAAGUUUAGUUUUCCCUUUUUUAAAGAAUCCUUAAUAUAUUGUGUAUGACAAUACAAUUGCAUACAAAUGUGCAAUCAUACUCAGAUUAAAAUUUACUGGCAGCCUGUGGCUCAGUCUCUGGGAUUAUGUAAUUGGGGAGAAUGUUCAAGCUGUGAUUCUCUUUUAUUGUUUGUAUUUAGGGAAAUCAGAGGCAAUCGCUCCUAAAAUGUCCAAUUUUUGGAAUAUUAUAUAGGCUAAGGGUCACUCAUGGGGUUUAAAGCAUAGCUAGCUUGAUUGUUAAUCAGAACCCUACUAUAGCUUGUUUCCUUUUCGAAAACAUGAGUUGUGCACUUUCUAUCAACCAUGUGCAAAAAAGUGCCAAUACAACUGAAAGUCGCAAGCGUUAUUUGGGGGGGGUCGAAUUUUGAGGUUUUUUUAUACUUCAAAUUAAUUCAAAUGGUUUCUUAUUUAAGAAAAAACUUGAUUCAGAAAGUUGGAGUUGUGCACUUUCUAUCAACCAUGUGCCAAAAAGUGCCAAAGCACAAAAGGGCGAAUGUAACUGAAAGUCGCAAGUGUUAUUUGGGGGGUUGAAUUUUUAUUUGGGGGGUUGAAUUUUGAGUUUUUUAUACCCCAAAUUAAUUCUAAUGGUUUCUUAUUUAAGAAAAGACUUUAUUCAGCAAGUUGGAGUUGUGAAACCCCAAAAAUCGAAUUAAUCAAGUUUUCUGCAAAAAAAAACUUGAAUUUUCAAACAUCAUGAGGCUAUUAACAUCUUCAAAUGGUUCAAGGGACCUCUGCUAUUGAC